AGGGAAUCUUCCACAAUGGACGAAAGUCUGAUGGAGCAACGCCGCGUGAGUGAUGAAGGGUUUCGGCUCGUAAAACUCUGUUGUUGGAGAAGAACGGGUGUCAGAGUAACUGUUGACAUCGUGACGGUAUCCAACCAGAAAGCCACGGCUAACUACGUGCCAGCAGCCGCGGUAAUACGUAGGUGGCAAGCGUUGUCCGGAUUUAUUGGGCGUAAAGCGAGCGCAGGCGGUUUUUUAGGUCUGAUGUGAAAGCCUUCGGCUUAACCGGAGAAGUGCAUCGGAAACCGGGAGACUUGAGUGCAGAAGAGGACAGUGGAACUCCAUGUGUAGCGGUGAAAUGCGUAGAUAUAUGGAAGAACACCAGUGGCGAAGGCGGCUGUCUGGUCUGCAACUGACGCUGAGGCUCGAAAGCAUGGGUAGCGAACAGGAUUAGAUACCCUGGUAGUCCAUGCCGUAAACGAUGAGUGCUAAGUGUUGGAGGGUUUCCGCCCUUCAGUGCUGCAGCUAACGCAUUAAGCACUCCGCCUGGGGGAGUACGACCGCAAGGUUGAAAC
rnacentral:rRNA from 1 species